CGCGUAGGCGGUUAUUUAAGUCGGAUGUGAAAGCCCCGGGCUCAACCUGGGAACUGCAUACGAUACUGGGUAACUCGAGUACGAGAGAGGGAGGUAGAAUUCCACGUGUAGCGGUGAAAUGCGUAGAUAUGUGGAGGAAUACCAGUGGCGAAGGCGGCCUCCUGGCUCGAUACUGACGCUGAGGUGCGAAAGCGUGGGGAGCAAACA
rnacentral:rRNA from 1 species